rnacentral:rRNA from 1 species
UCCAGACUCCUACGGGAGGCAGCAGUGGGGAAUAUUGGGCAAUGGGCGCAAGCCUGACCCAGCAACGCCGCGUGAAGGAAGAAGGCUUUCGGGUUGUAAACUUCUUUUCUGAGGGACGAAGCAAGGGACGGUACCUUAGGAAUAAGCCACGGCUAACUACGUGCCAGCAGCCGCGUCAAUACGUAGAUGGCAAGCGUUAUCCGGAUUUACUGGGUGUAAAGGGUGUGUAGGCGGGAAAGCAAGUCAGAUGUUAAAACCGCGGGCUCAACCUGUGGCCUGCAUUUGAAACUGUUUUUCUUGAGUACUGGAGAGGCAGGCGGAAUUCCUGGUGUAGCGGUGAAAUGCGUAGAUAUUAGGAGGAACACCAGUGGCGAAGGCGGUCUGCUGGACAGCAACUGACGCUGAGGCGCGAAAGCGUGGGGAGCAAACAGGAUUAGAUACCCGAGUA